rnacentral:rRNA from 1 species
UGGGGAAUAUUGGACAAUGGGCGAAAGCCUGAUCCAGCCAUGCCGCGUGUGUGAAGAAGGUCUUCGGAUUGUAAAGCACUUUAAGUUGGGAGGAAGGGCAGUAAGCGAAUACCUUGCUGUUUUUACGUUACCGACAGAAUAAGCACCGGCUAACUCUGUUCCAGCAGCCGCGGUAAUACAGAGGGUGCAAGCGUUAAUCGGAAUUACUGGGCGUAAAGCGCGCGUAGGUGGUUCGUUAAGUUGAAUGUGAAAGCCCCGGGCUCAACCUGGGAACUGCAUCCAAAACUGGCGAGCUAGAGUAGGGCAGAGGGUGGUGGAAUUUCCUGUGUAGCGGUGAAAUGCGUAGAUAUAGGAAGGAACACCAGUGGCGAAGGCGACCACCUGGGCUCAUACUGACACUGAGGUGCGAAAGCGUGGGGAGCAAACAGG